GACGAACGCUGGCGGCGUGCUUAACACAUGCAAGUCGAACGGAAAGGCCCUGCUUUUGUGGGGUGCUCGAGUGGCGAACGGGUGAGUAACACGUGAGUAACCUGCCCUUGACUUUGGGAUAACUUCAGGAAACUGGGGCUAAUACCGGAUAGGAGCUCCUGCUGCAUGGUGGGGGUUGGAAAGUUUCGGCGGUUGGUGAUGGACUCGCGGCUUAUCAGCUUGUUGGUGGGGUAGUGGCUUACCAAGGCUUUGACGGGUAGCCGGCCUGAGAGGGUGACCGGCCACAUUGGGACUGAGAUACGGCACAGACUACUACGGGAGGCAGCAGUGGGGAAUAUUGCACAAUGGGCGGAAGCCUGAUGCAGCAACGCCGCGUGCGGGAUGACGGCCUUCGGGUUGUAAACCGAUUUCGCCUGUGACGAAGCGUGAGUGACGGUAAUGGGUAAAGAAGCACCGGCUAACUACGUG
rnacentral:rRNA from 1 species